AAAGACUUUGACUGGCGGACCAGGUGGAAUAAGAGGAAGAGGAAGAAGAAACCGGCCAGCACAGGGCCAUGCUCUCUGCUUCCUGGCUGCUCUGACGAAGCUCCUUUCUUCCAGGGCUUCCUCCUGCCAUGAUGGCUUGUCCCAGUUCCAGAAGCACAGACACCUGACCAGCAACUGAAACCUUUGAGACAACCGGGAGCCACACAAUGGAAAGCUCGGCUUCUAAAUCAGACCUCCAAGUCCUGAUAUCCACUCCUGCCUCAUGCACUGAAAGGAAAUAAAACUGUGAUUCAUGUAAUGUAUGUCAAAUAGCCCAAAGAGUUGUUUGUGAGCUUUGAAACCUGGGGCUGAGAACAUAGCAGAACAGACCAGGACAUGCCCGGGCAGGCCCAUCGUCUCCCUAUCUCCCACCCCUCUGACCUAAGUUAAAUGUUACAGGCUGCUGAUGUUUAAAUGGACCAAUCAUGUGAAACCACGCCAAUUC
rnacentral:lncRNA from 1 species